rnacentral:tRNA from 2 species
GCAGGGGUGGUUUAGUGGUAGAAUUCUUGCCUUUCAUGCAGGAGACCUGGGUUUGACUCCCAGCCACUGCA